rnacentral:rRNA from 1 species
GAUAAACGCUGGCGGCGCACAUAAGACAUGCAAGUCGAACGGACUUAACUCAUUCUUUUAGUUUGAGAGCGGUUAGUGGCGGACUGGUGAGUAACACGUAAGCAACCUGCCUAUCAGAGGGGAAUAACAGUGAGAAAUCACUGCUAAUACCGCAUAUGCUAACAGUAUCGCAUGAUACAGUUAGGAAAGGAGCAAUCCGCUGAUAGAUGGGCUUGCGUCUGAUUAGCUAGUUGGUGGGGUAAUGGCCUACCAAGGCGACGAUCAGUAGCCGGACUGAGAGGUUGAACGGCCACAUUGGGACUGAGAUACGGCCCAGACUCCUACGGGAGGCAGCAGUCGGGAAUAUUGCGCAAUGGAGGAAACUCUGACGCAGUGACGCCGCGUAUAGGAAGAAGGUUUUCGGAUUGUAAAGCUCUGUCUUUAGGGACGAUAAUGACGGUACCUAAGGAGGAAGCCACGGCUAACUACGUGCCAGCAGCC